UACAGAGGUCCCAAGCGUUGUUCGGAUUCACUGGGCGUAAAGGGUGCGUAGGCGGUCGGGUAAGUCUGAUGUGAAAUCUCAGAGCUCAACUCUGAAACUGCAUUGGAUACUAUUCGGCUUGAGGUCUGGAGGGGGGACUGGAAUUCUCGGUGUAGCAGUGAAAUGCGUAGAUAUCGAGAGGAACACCGUGGCGAAGGCGAGUCCCUGGACAGGUCCUGACGCUGAGGCACGAAAGCUAGGGGAGCAAACAGG
rnacentral:rRNA from 1 species